rnacentral:rRNA from 1 species
AUGGGAACCCUCAAGGUGACAAUCCUGAUAUGUUUGCUACUGCUCAUGCCACUCCAUUUGGUUCCUGGUUCAGAGGCACUGACCUGCAAAGAGGUCAGUGGGACAUAUACCAAUCCACGAUGUGAUCAGGUUGAAUGUGUUGAGGCCUGCCACAAGGAGGGCUUUACCCGAGGGGGGUGUGAAGAAGUAGUUCCCGCAUCGACGUCGACGAUGCCUAUCCCGCAUCCUCGUCGUCGUCGACUCGGCGGUGGAGGCCUGCUUGAUCAGGGCCAUGUUCGGGACUGGGCUCCGCCGGGCUGGUAUUGGCAGGUGCUACCUUCUGGGGGACGUAGGUUGGCGAGGAGGCAGCCCGUUGUUGACACGAUCCUUGUUUGGUGGCGGUCGCGUGGGCCAGUGACGGUGCCGAGGCUUCCGGACACCGCGGAGGUGGUACGUCACCGUGUCAGCGAGGAGGACGAGCACGUCCGUCGCUACAUGGUUGCAUUGGAGGGCAGGUUCGACAAUACCUGGCAGGUUCUUUAG